UACGUAGGGUGCGAGCGUUAAUCGGAAUUACUGGGCGUAAAGCGUGCGCAGGCGGUUUUGUAAGCCAGAUGUGAAAUCCCCGGGCUUAACCUGGGAAUGGCAUUUGGGACUGCAAGGCUGGAGUGCGGCAGAGGAGACUGGAAUUCCUGGUGUAGCAGUGAGAUGCGUAGAUAUCAGGAGGAAUACCGAUGGCGAAGGCAGGUCUCUGGGCUGACACUGACGCUCAUGCACGAAAGCGUGGGGAGCAAACAGG
rnacentral:rRNA from 1 species